rnacentral:misc_RNA from 1 species
GAAAUGCGAUAAGUAGUGUGAAUUGCAGAAUUCAGUGAAUCAUCGAAUCUUUGAACGCACAUUGCGCCCUUUGGUAUUCCUUAGGGCAUGCCUGUUCGAGCGUCAUUUCACCACUCAAGCCUCGCUUGGUAUUGGGCGACGCGGUCCGCCGCGCGCCUCAAAUCGACCGGCUGGGUCUUUCGUCCCCUCAGCGUUGUGGAAACUAUUCGCUAAAGGGUGCCGCGGGAGGCCACGCCGUAAAACAACCCCAUUUCUAAGGUUGACCUCGGAUCAGGUAGGGAUACCCGCUGAACUUAAGC